rnacentral:rRNA from 1 species
UACAGAGGGGGCGAGCGUUGUUCGGAAUUACUGGGCGUAAAGGGUGCGUAGGCGGCGCGGUAAGUCGGGUGUGAAAUCUCGGAGCUUAACUCCGAAACUGCAUUCGAUACUGCCGUGCUUGAGGACUGGAGAGGAGACUGGAAUUUACGGUGUAGCGGUGAAAUGCGUAGAUAUCGUAAGGAAGACCAGUGGCGAAGGCGGGUCUCUGGACAGUUCCUGACGCUGAGGCGCGAAGGCCAGGGGAGCAAACGGG